GACGAACGCUGGCGGCGUGCUUAACACAUGCAAGUCGAACGGAAAGGCCCUGCUUUUGUUGGGUACUCGAGUGGCGAACGGGUGAGUAACACGUGAGUAACCUGCCCUUGACUUUGGGAUAACUUCAGGAAACUGGGGCUAAUACCGGAUAGGAGCUCCUUCUGCAUGGUGGGGGUUGGAAAGUUUCGGCGGUUGGGGAUGGACUCGCGGCUUAUCAGCUUGUUGGUGGGGUAGUGGCUUACCAAGGCUUUGACGGGUAGCCGGCCUGAGGGGGUGACCGGCCACAUUGGGACUGAGAUACGGCCCAGACUCCUACGGGAGGCAGCAGUGGGGAAUAUUGCACAAUGGGCGGAAGCCUGAUGCAGCAACGCCGCGUGCGGGAUGACGGCCUUCGGGUUGUAAACCGCUUUCGCCUGUGACGAAGCGUGAGUGACGGUAAUGGGUAAAGAAGCACCGGCUAACUACGUG
rnacentral:rRNA from 1 species